AGGGCACCACCAGGAGUGGAGCCAGCGGCUUAAUUUGACUCCACACGGGGAAACUUACCCGGCCUGGACACUGGAAGGAUUGACAGAUUGAGAGCUCUUUCUUGAUUCAGUGGGUGGUGGUGCAUGGCCGUUCUUAGUUGGUGGAGCGAUUUGUCUGGUUAAUUCCGAUAACGAACGAGACUCUAGCCUAUUAAAUAGGCUCUCGGCUUUUAAACGCCGGGAGGACUUCUUAGAGGGACAGGUGGCGGUUCAGCCGCACGAAAGAGAGCAAUAACAGGUCUGUGAUGCCCUUUGUUGUCCGGGGCCGCACGCGCGCUACACUGAAGAGAUCAGCGUGCUUUACGUUCCUGCUCCGACCGGAGUGGGGAACCCAGUGAACCUUCUUCGUGAUUGGGAUAGAAGAUUGUAAUUAUUCUUCUUGAACGAGGAAUUCCCAGUAAAUGCGAGUCAUAAGCUCGCGUUGAUUACGUCCCUGCCCUUUGUACACACCGCCCGUCGCUACUACCGAUUGAACGAUUU
rnacentral:rRNA from 1 species